rnacentral:rRNA from 1 species
CGCGUCUAAGCAUGCAGUCGGGCGGCAAGGGGGAGCAAUCCUCCCUAGAGCGGCGGACUGGUGAGUAACGCGUGGGUGACCUGCCCUUAGGUUGGGGAUAGCCCCUAGAAAUAGGGGGUAAUACCGAAUACGGUUAUCUGGUUAUGACUGGAUAAAGAAAGGAGCUUCGGCUUCGCCUGGGGAUGGGCCCGCGUCCCAUUAGCUAGUUGGCGGGGUAAGAGCCCACCAAGGCUCUGAUGGGUAGCCGGCCUGAGAGGGUGAACGGCCACACUGGGACUGAGAUACGGCCCAGACUCCUACGGGAGGCAGCAGCUAAGAAUAUUCCGCAAUGGUCGAAAGACUGACGGAGCGACGCCGCGUGGAUGAUGAAGGCCGAAAGGUUGUAAAAUCCUUUUGUUGCUGAAGAAUAAGCUUUGCAGGGAAUGGCAGGGCGAUGACGUUAGGCAACGAAUAAGCCCCGGCUAAUUACGUGCCAGCAGCCGCGGUAACACGUAAGGGGCGAGCGUUGUUCGGAAUUAUUGGGCGUAAAGGGCGCGUAGGCGGCAGAGUAAGCCCGGCGUGAAAUACUUCGGCUUAACCGGGGAACUGCGUUGGGAACUGCUGUGCUUGAGUCUCGGAGGGGGAGUUGGAAUUCCUAGUGUAGGGGUGAAAUCUGUAGAUAUUAGGAAGAACACCGGUGGCGAAGGCGAACUUCCAGCCGGAGACUGACGCUGAGGCGCGAAAGUGCGGGGAGCAAACAGGAUUAGAUACCCUGGUAGUCCGCACCAUAAACGAUGUACACUAGGUGUUGGGCCGUGCGGCUCGGUGCCGAAGCAAACGUGAUAAGUGUACCGCCUGGGGAGUAUGCCCGCAAGGGUGAAACUCAAAGGAAUUGACGGGGGCCCGCACAGCGGUGGAGCAUGUGGUUUAUCGAUGAUACGCGAGGACUUACCUGGGUUUGACAU